rnacentral:rRNA from 1 species
UACGUAGGGGGCUAGCGUUGUCCGGAAUCAUUGGGCGUAAAGCGCGCGUAGGCGGCCCGGUAAGUCCGUUGUGAAAGUCAAAGGCUCAACCUUUGAAAGCCGAUGGAUACUGCCGGGCUGGAGUCCGGAAGAGGCGAGUGGAAUUCCUGGUGUAGCGGUGGAAUGCGCAGAUAUCAGGAGGAACACCAAUAGCGAAGGCAGCUCGCCGGGACGGUACUGACGCUGAGGCGCGAAAGCGUGGGGAGCGAACAGG